UGCCCCCGCGAGACCACCUGGGCCUCAGUGUCUUCUCCAUGCUCUGCUGCUUCUGGCCUCUGGGCAUCGCAGCCUUCUACUUGUCCCAUGAGUCCCUUUCAGAUCAAUUCGUUGGCCGUCAACUGGACACCUGCCACGUUCGCAUGUUUAGUCUCAUUGGAUUCAAUGGAUAUCACUGGUCACAAAGCAUCCUCCUUGCUCAGGCAUUUGCAGCCUGUGUAGAUGGUAAAGGGGGGCACACCCCUUGCUGGUGGGGCGCAAAGAGCCUCUGAGUGCUGAGGAGGGGGGAAUGCAGUACCCUGGGUGUGCUGAAGGCUGUCUGACCCUGUCCUCCACUGGGAGUCCAUGAACAGAUUUCUCUCUGAAUUCCCUCCUCCUUCUUCACCUCGUGUCCUUUUCCAUGGUCCUCUUCCAGA
rnacentral:sRNA from 1 species